AUGAUAUGCUUCUUCGCAGUCGAGUGGCACUUUGUAGACCGUGUGGCAAGACAAUUUGGAAAAAGACAAGGUAUUCCAAUUGAGGAGAGCAAGGAGGAAAUGCUAUCUCUGCAUCGCUAAGUUCGAUCGAAGAACAAUCAGGAUAUAUCGGAUUGGGCAAACAAACACCGUGCGUGGAUAGAAAUUUGGAAUCAAAGAGACACGUUAGUGCAAUCAGAGAAUAGACCUCACAAUCAGUCAGCAUAUCAGAAGUAUCAAGUGUGGUAUGCGGAUCGUUACCGGUUAAAGCUGAAGCCAGGUUGGACUCACGAGGAGUGGUCGGAGUUGGUGUCUGAAGACCCGGAGACUGCAGAAGGUUAUCAUACCUUCAACACGGCUGUGAGAGACACCAGAGGGGCUCAUGUUGACUACGCACCGAUGCAUGACGAAAUGGUAGUCUGUUUGACCUAUUCUAACAUACUUGCAUCAUGUUGUCUUCUUUCAAAUACAUAA
rnacentral:rRNA from 1 species